GAUACGGCCCAGACUCCUACGGGAGGCAGCAGUGGGGAAUAUUGCACAAUGGGCGCAAGCCUGAUGCAGCGACGCCGCGUGAGGGAUGACGGCCUUCGGGUUGUAAACCUCUUUCAAUAGGGACGAAGCGCAAGUGACGGUACCUAUAGAAGAAGGACCGGCCAACUACGUGCCAGCAGCCGCGGUAAUACGUAGGGUCCGAGCGUUGUCCGGAAUUACUGGGCGUAAAGAGCUCGUAGGUGGUUUGUCGCGUUGUUCGUGAAAACUCACAGCUUAACUGUGGGCGUGCGGGCGAUACGGGCAGACUAGAGUACUGCAGGGGAGACUGGAAUUCCUGGUGUAGCGGUGGAAUGCGCAGAUAUCAGGAGGAACACCGGUGGCGAAGGCGGGUCUCUGGGCAGUAACUGACGCUGAGGAGCGAAAGCGUGGGGAGCGAACAGGAUUAGAUACCCUGGUAGUCCACGCCGUAAA
rnacentral:rRNA from 1 species